AGCAUAAGUUUCCAUUGAAAGCCUACUUCUCUCACCAUCACCAGCCUCUUGCAAUAGCUUUACUCAGAUGUCCUUUUGCUACGCACUGCUGUCAACACUUGAAACACAUUUCAGAAGUGCUCAAAGCAUUACUAGAAGGUGAAAGCAUUAGUUCGUUUGCUGACCUUUUUGAAAUCUGGUUUUUGAUUGCUCGUUUUGGAGAAU